rnacentral:rRNA from 1 species
AUUCCAGCUCCAAUAGCGUAUAUUAAAGUUGUUGCGGUUAAAAAGCUCGUAGUUGGAUUUCUUCCAGGGGCAGUCGGUCCACACUAUGUGUGCGUAUCUGAUUUGACUUUGGAAUCCUCUUGGGGAACAUUUGUGCGCUUCAUUGCGUGCUAUGGUAUUCAAGACUUUUACUUUGAGGAAAUUAGAGUGUUCACGGCAGGCAAUCGCCCUGAAUACAUUAGCAUGGAAUAAUAAUAUAGGACUUUGGUUCUAUUUUGUUGGUUUCUAGAGCUAAAGUAAUGAUUAAUAGGGACACUUGGGGGCAUUCGUAUUAUCACGUCAGAGGUGGAAUUCUUGGAUUGUGUUACGACGAACUACUGCGAAAGCAUUUGCCAAGGAUGUUUUCAUCG